AGGGGGAUGGCGCAGUUGGAGUGCGUUGCGCCUGGAAAGUCUGUGCAUAGGCUGUACAGGCAGUUGGUUCGAAUCCGGCUCCCUCUG